UGGGGGAGGGUCGCUGGUGCUGCUCACUCUAUGACGUAACAUCAGUGGUCAAUCUCUGGAGUUGUGACAGGAUUUUAGCAAAAAACUAAAGAUUUUAGGUAAAACUAAAGAUUAGGCUCGAUUCAAGAUAUGUAAAAUAUACAGCAUGAGCCAGUAAAUAGUUACAAAGUGAAGGGGCCAACCUACAAUGCGGAUUUGUCCAGUAUAGAGUCUGUUGAUGGUGGUGAAGUGGUGGCAGCUACAUAGGAGGUCAGUCAGCCAAGGAGAGGGAAGGAAAGAAGCUGAAGGAGACUGACAGGGCUGAAGAAGUCUGAAGAAGGUUGAUGAUCAAGAAGAAAACAUUUUGGGGUCAUUGAAACAUCCUCUGGAGGGAGCAUGGCCCCGGACAAUGUUUGGUUUAGUAAGUUUCAAGGUUUAGCCCGUAUUUAUAAAUGUCUGUUGAUGCCAUAGUACAUUAUGAAAACGUGAGUUAUAUGAGUUAUUGUGAGAAUAAAUGCAAGGAAAACAUUUGACCUUGACCUUGGGAAUUUGUCAUUGUUGGCAGUUCUUUUUAAUGGGCUUAUAUUGCCAUGACAUAUAUUGCCAUUUAGAUACAAGGCAAUGAACGUGCCAGGUGUGGCACUAUUUUUUUAUGCAGCAGCAGUCAAUGUAUAACACCUUUUUUAACAAGCCUCAGGGAACAAAUUUACAAUGUCUUUUGUCUGUGGAUGCACAAGGUUUACAAGAAUAAAAAGACGUUCCUUCCCAA